rnacentral:rRNA from 1 species
UACGUAGGGGGCUAGCGUUGUCCGGAAUCAUUGGGCGUAAAGCGCGUGUAGGCGGUCCGGUAAGUCCGCUGUGAAAGUCGGGGGCUCAACCCUCGAAUGCCGGUGGAUACUGUCGGGCUAGAGUGCGGAAGAGGCGAGUGGAGUUCCUGGUGUAGCGGUGAAAUGCGCAGAUAUCAGGAGGAACACCAAUUGCGAAGGCAGCUCGCUGGGACGUAACUGACGCUGAGACGCGAAAGCGUGGGGAGCAAACAGG